rnacentral:rRNA from 1 species
UACGUAGGGGGCAAGCGUUACUCGGAAUCACUGGGCGUAAAGGGCGCGUAGGCGGCCUAGCAAGUCUGGUGUGAAAGCCCAGGGCUCAACCCUGGAAGGGCACUGGAUACUGUUAGGCUUGAGUUCCGGAGAGGAGGGGGGAAUUCCCGGUGUAGCGGUGAAAUGCGUAGAUAUCGGGAGGAAUACCGGUGGCGCAGGUGCCCCUCUGGACGGAAACUGACGCUGAGGCGCGAAAGCGUGGGGAGCAAACAGG